GGGUUGUGAGGUUAAGCGACUAAGCGUACACGGUGGAUGCCCUGGCAGUCAGAGGCGAUGAAGGACGUGCUAAUCUGCGAAAAGCGCCGGCGAGGUGAUAUGAACCUUUGACCCGGCGAUGUCCGAAUGGGGAAACCCAGUGCAAUCCGUUGCACUAUCGUUUGAUGAAUACAUAGUCAAACGAGGCGAACCGGGGGAACUGAAACAUCUAAGUACCCCGAGGAAAAGAAAUCAACCGAGAUUCCCCCAGUAGCGGCGAGCGAACGGGGAGCAGCCCAGAGCCUGAAUCAGCUUGUGUGUUAGUGGAACGGUCUGGAAAGUCCGGCGAUACAGGGUGACAGCCCCGUACACGAAAGCACACAGGUUGUGAGCUCGAUGAGUAGGGCGGGACACGUGGUAUCCUGUCUGAAUAUGGGGGGACCAUCCUCCAAGGCUAAAUACUCCUGACUGACCGAUAGUGAACCAGUACCGUGAGGGAAAGGCGAAAAGAACCCCGGCGAGGGGAGUGAAAAAGAACCUGAAACCGUGUACGUACAAGCAGUGGGAGCCUCUUAAUGGGGUGACUGCGUACCUUUUGUAUAAUGGGUCAGCGACUUAUAUUCUGUAGCAAGGUUAACCGAAUAGGGGAGCCGAAGGGAAACCGAGUCUUAACUGGGCGUUAAGUUGCAGGGUAUAGACCCGAAACCCGGUGAUCUAGCCAUGGGCAGGUUGAAGGUUGGGUAACACUAACUGGAGGACCGAACCGACUAAUGUUGAAAAAUUAGCGGAUGACUUGUGGCUGGGGGUGAAAGGCCAAUCAAACCGGGAGAUAGCUGGUUCUCCCCGAAAGCUAUUUAGGUAGCGCCUCGUGAAUUCAUCUCCGGGGUAGAGCACUGUUUCGGCUAGGGGGCCAUCCCGGCUUACCAACCCGAUGCAAACUACGAAUACCGGAGAAUGUUAUCACGGGAGACACACGGCGGGUGCUAACGUCCGUCGUGAAGAGGGAAACAACCCAGACCGCCAGCUAAGGUCCCAAAGUCAUGGUUAAGUGGGAAACGAUGUGGGAAGGCACAGACAGCCAGGAUGUUGGCUUAGAAGCAGCCAUCAUUUAAAGAAAGCGUAAUAGCUCACUGGUCGAGUCGGCCUGCGCGGAAGAUGUAACGGGGCUAAACCAUGCACCGAAGCUGCGGCAGCGACACUAUGUGUUGUUGGGUAGGGGAGCGUUCUGUAAGCCUGCGAAGGUGUGCUGUGAGGCAUGCUGGAGGUAUCAGAAGUGCGAAUGCUGACAUAAGUAACGAUAAAGCGGGUGAAAAGCCCGCUCGCCGGAAGACCAAGGGUUCCUGUCCAACGUUAAUCGGGGCAGGGUGAGUCGACCCCUAAGGCGAGGCCGAAAGGCGUAGUCGAUGGGAAACAGGUUAAUAUUCCUGUACUUGGUGUUACUGCGAAGGGGGGACGGAGAAGGCUAUGUUAGCCGGGCGACGGUUGUCCCGGUUUAAGCAUGUAGGCUGGUUAUCCAGGCAAAUCCGGAUAAUCAAGGCUGAGGUGUGAUGACGAGUCACUACGGUGAUGAAGUAACAAAUGCCCUGCUUCCAGGAAAAGCCUCUAAGCAUCAGGUAACAUCAAAUCGUACCCCAAACCGACACAGGUGGUCAGGUAGAGAAUACCAAGGCGCUUGAGAGAACUCGGGUGAAGGAACUAGGCAAAAUGGUGCCGUAACUUCGGGAGAAGGCACGCUGAUAUGUAGGUGAAGCCCCUGCGGGCGGAGCUGAAAUCAGUCGAAGAUACCAGCUGGCUGCAACUGUUUAUUAAAAACACAGCACUGUGCAAACACGAAAGUGGACGUAUACGGUGUGACGCCUGCCCGGUGCCGGAAGGUUAAUUGAUGGGGUUAUCCGUAAGGAGAAGCUCUUGAUCGAAGCCCCGGUAAACGGCGGCCGUAACUAUAACGGUCCUAAGGUAGCGAAAUUCCUUGUCGGGUAAGUUCCGACCUGCACGAAUGGCGUAAUGAUGGCCAGGCUGUCUCCACCCGAGACUCAGUGAAAUUGAACUCGCUGUGAAGAUGCAGUGUACCCGCGGCAAGACGGAAAGACCCCGUGAACCUUUACUAUAGCUUGACACUGAACAUUGAGCCUUGAUGUGUAGGAUAGGUGGGAGGCUUUGAAGCGUGGACGCCAGUCUGCGUGGAGCCAACCUUGAAAUACCACCCUUUAAUGUUUGAUGUUCUAACGUGGACCCGUGAUCCGGGUUGCGGACAGUGUCUGGUGGGUAGUUUGACUGGGGCGGUCUCCUCCCAAAGAGUAACGGAGGAGCACGAAGGUUGGCUAAUCCUGGUCGGACAUCAGGAGGUUAGUGCAAUGGCAUAAGCCAGCUUGACUGCGAGCGUGACGGCGCGAGCAGGUGCGAAAGCAGGUCAUAGUGAUCCGGUGGUUCUGAAUGGAAGGGCCAUCGCUCAACGGAUAAAAGGUACUCCGGGGAUAACAGGCUGAUACCGCCCAAGAGUUCAUAUCGACGGCGGUGUUUGGCACCUCGAUGUCGGCUCAUCACAUCCUGGGGCUGAAGUAGGUCCCAAGGGUAUGGCUGUUCGCCAUUUAAAGUGGUACGCGAGCUGGGUUUAGAACGUCGUGAGACAGUUCGGUCCCUAUCUGCCGUGGGCGCUGGAGAAUUGAGGGGGGCUGCUCCUAGUACGAGAGGACCGGAGUGGACGCAUCACUGGUGUUCGGGUUGUCAUGCCAAUGGCACUGCCCGGUAGCUACAUGCGGAAGAGAUAAGUGCUGAAAGCAUCUAAGCACGAAACUUGCCCCGAGAUGAGUUCUCCCCUGGACUUUAAGUCCACUAAAGGAACGUUGAAGACGACGACGUUGAUAGGCCGGGUGUGUAAGCGCAGCGAUGCGUUGAGCUAACCGGUACUAAUGAACCGUGAGGCUUAACCUUACAACGCCGAAG
rnacentral:rRNA from 1 species